rnacentral:rRNA from 1 species
UACGUAGGGUGCAAGCGUUAAUCGGAAUUACUGGGCGUAAAGCGUGCGCAGGCGGUUGUGCAAGACCGAUGUGAAAUCCCCGGGCUUAACCUGGGAACUGGCAUUGGUGACUGCACGGCUAGAGUGUGUCAGAGGGGGUAGAAUUCCACGUGUAGCAGUGAAAUGCGUAGAGAUGUGGAGGAAUACCGAUGGCGAAGGCAGCCCCUGGAUAACACUGACGCUCAUGGCACGAAAGCGUGGGAGCAAACAGG